rnacentral:rRNA from 1 species
UAGUCCACGCUGUAAACGAUGAGUGCUAGGUGCUGCGGGUAUUGACCCCUGCAGCGCCGUAGUUAACGCGUUAAGCACUCCGCCUGGGGAGUACGGCCGCAAGGCUAAAACUCAAAGGAAUUGACGGGGGCCCGCACAAGCGGUGGAGCAUGUGGUUCAAUUCGACGCAACGCGCAGAACCUUACCCGGGUUAAAUCCACCGGAACCCUGCAGAGAUGCGGGGGUGCCCUUCGGGGAAUCGGUGAGAAGGUGCUGCAUGGCUGUCGUCAGCUCGUGUCGUGAGGUGUCAGGUUAAGUCCUGUAACGAGCGCAACCCUUGUCGUAUGUUACAAGUGUCAUACGAGACUGCCGGUUUUUGCCGGAAGAAGGAGGGGAUGACGUCAAGUCAGCAUGUCCUUUAUAUCCCGGGCUACACACACGCUACAAUGGUCAGGACAAUAGGUUGCCAAGCCGCGAGGUGGAGCUAAUCCUCUAAACUUGAUCUCAGUUCGGAUUGUAGGCUGC